CGCCGCCGCCAGAGCCGGUCCGCCCGCAGAGCCCGCCGGGCGGGCCCGCCGCCAGGGGGCGCCACAUCCGGGGCGGCGGCGGUGCCGCCAUGGCGGCCGCCUUCAAAACUGUGGAACCAUUGGAAUAUUACAAAAGGUUUUUGGCCUACAACCACAAACUACAUAUCGCUUGAUGAAAAACCAGGUAGAGUUGUGAGCAAGUUUUCCCUAGCAUUUUUGAGGCUGCAUAUUUCUGCUAAAAAGAAGAGAAUAUUGUUUUAUAUCAACUUCUAUAGCAUAAAUAUUACUGUAUUAUUUAAUAAAACAUGUUUUCUAAUUUGAACUUUGUAAUUUUUGGUUAGAAAGAGAACUGUCAACCUGAUAGAAGGGAGUUAGGUGAAUUCUGGGCAACCACUGUCAACAUAGGCAAGUGCUUAUUUGGAAUAAUAAUAAUGGGAGAAGUAUUAUUAAUAUCAGGUUAUAAUAGUGACCUUAAUGACUUCCUAAUUGGUUUUCUUGGUCCUUGCUUUGAAACAAGGAAGAGAAAGGAUUUUUAUUUACUGUUUCAGCAAGCAUGAAAGAGAAUGCAUAGUACAGUAAUAUACUUUAACAUUGUUUUCAGUCUUGAUCCUGGGCUGAUGUGCACAGUGUAAUUACUCGGGUCUGCUCCUGUCUGGGUAUGUGCAGCACAAUUUAGGUGGCUGUGGAAUCUUGUCUCUGUCUAAGGUGAGCAGUAUCUGUUACAGAUGCUGAAGGCAGCAUCAAGGCAUAUGCUGACCGGCACAAAAUUGAUGCCCAAGCAUCUUGGGAGAGACAGUGAGUCCUGGCUUCUGCUGUGUUCUGAGCUUGGUGGGCAGCUGCCUCGAGCAGAGGCAAAAUGAGCCAGCAAUGUGCCCUUGCUGCAAAGAAGCAAAUGUUAUCCUGGGCUGCAUUAGGCACAGCAUUGCCAGCAGGUCAAGGGAGGUGAUCCUGCUCUCUGCUCAGCACUGGUGAGGCCACACAUGGAGUAUUGUGUCCAAUGCCAGGCAGUGUAUAGAAAUACCUGAAGGGAGGGUGUGGGAAAGACAAAGCCAGCUUCUAUUCAUUAAUAACCAGUGACAGAACAUGAGUCAGUGGGCACAAGCUGAAACACAGGAGGUUCCCUCUGAACAAGAUGAAACACUUUUUUACUGAUGGAGUGAUGGAGCGCUGGCACAGGUUGGCCAGAGAAGUUGUGAAGUUUCCUUCCUUGGAGAUAAUCAAAAGCCAUCUGGGUACAGUUCUGGGCAACCAGCUCUAGGUGGUCCUCCUUGAGUAGGGGUGUUGAACCAGAAGAGCUUCAGCUGUCUGAGCCUCAGCCAUUCUGUGUGAUUAACUGUUUAAUAUAGAGAUUCCAUCCCACUCUGGAUUUGAGACAUUGCGUAGCCUCUGUUUAGUAUAAAAUGAUGGAAAGUUAACACUUUGUGAAGGUAGAUGUUAAUUAAUGCUCUUUGAAUGAAAAAUAGAUUUUAUUGAACAGUACUUUUCCUCUGCAGGUAAAAUUGAUACAUUGACCUCUUCAUGUGUCCCCGCAUCACACAAAGAGCUGAUGUGUCACAGUGCAUGGGGUUAGACUUUAAAAAGCAGCAUUUUUGAACAGGGUAGGUAAGGACUUAUGUUUUUGUUACUAUUGCUAUUAAAUGGCAAUCUGAGGUUUUAAAAUUCAGCUUUAAGUUCUAGGUUUUCUUGUUGAGCAAAGUUGGCUUAUAGUUUAGAUCCUAUAGAUUUCCCAUUGAUUUUGCUCUCUUUUUAACUUAAAUGGUUCAAAAAUAACGGUAUUUAAUCUCUCAAAGAUAUGCAUUGUGAUGUAUAACAGUUUAUACUGGAUGUCAAACACCGCAUAAAUCCAUUUUUUUAACUGUUCCCAGGCUGAGUGAUAUUAGAGUUCUCUGACAAGAAACUGAGAACUACUUUGGUGAACUAUCCAUUGGAAAUGAGUUUUGCAUUAAGGUGUCUGGUAGAGAUUAGUGCAGCCUACACCCUAUGCCAGUUUUUGUGUAACUACAAAAUAAGUGACUGCAUCCUUCAAAUGGCAGUUUAGUGGCAUUUUCCUGCAAUACAUGGAUGUCACAAAUCUAGGAAACUUCAGGCAUAAAGCUGCAUUUUCAGUAGACAUAAACACUUGAUUAUGUGGAAUCUCCCAUAUUUUUUGACUUUUUAAUUUUUUUAAAAUUGGUGCACUUUGGUAAGA